rnacentral:lncRNA from 1 species
ACUGUCUAUUAAUCCUUGCACAAAAUUUGAGCAAUAAAAUCGAAACGCUGAAAUGGUCAUACAUAUGUUGAGAAAUAAUAAUGGUAAUGACCAAGCAAACAUACGGCAUCUACAAGCGAAGACAUAAAAUCACAUUUGAACAAAAUAUUUCCGCAGCUCAGCUUUGGUA